rnacentral:tRNA from 1 species
GGGCGAGUGGUGGAAUGGCAGACACGCUAGACUUAGGAUCUAGUGCCGCAAGGCGUGCGAGUUCAACUCUCGCCUCGCCCACCA